rnacentral:rRNA from 1 species
AAAAUCCGCUGUAACGUUAAUGCUGAGGCGUGAUGGUGAAGGCCCUUGAGGCUGAAGUACAUGAUUCCAUGCUUCCAAGAAAAGCAUCUAGAGAGAGAAGUAGUGCCCGUACCGCAAACCGACACAGGUAGAUGAGGAGAGAAUCCUAAGGCCGGCGGAAGAAUUGCAGUUAAGGAACUAGGCAAAUUGACCCCGUAAGUUAGCGAGAAGGGGUGCCUGCGAGAGCAGGCCGCAGAGAAUAGGCCCAAGCAACUGUUUAGCAAAAACACAGGUCUCUGCUAAAGCGCAAGCUGAUGUAUAGGGGCUGACGCCUGCCCGGUGCUGGAAGGUUAAGGGGAACACUUAGCGCAAGCGAAGGUGUGAACUUAAGCCCCAGUAAACGGCGGCCGUAACGAUAACGGUCCUAAGGUAGCGAAAUUCCUUGUCAGGUAAGUUCUGACCCGCACGAAUGGCGUAAUGACUUGGGCACUGUCUCAACUGCAAAUCCGGCGAAGUUGUAGUGCGAGUGAAGAUGCUCGCUACCCGCGAUUGGACGGAAAGACCCCGUAGAGCUUUACUGUAGCUUAGCAUUGAAUUCCGGUAUUGUCUGUACAGGAUAGGUGGGAGACUGGGAAACUAGGGCGUCAGCCUUGGUGGAGUCGUCCUUGGGAUACCACCCUGACAGUACUGGGGUUCUAACAGGACGCCAUGAAUCUGGUGACUGGACAUUGUUAGGUGGGCAGUUUGACUGGGGCGGUCGCCUCCUAAAAAGUAACGGAGGCGCCCAAAGGUUCCCUCAGAACGGUCGGAAAUCGUUCGUAGAGUGCAAAGGCAGAAGGGAGCCUGACUGCGAGACCUACAAGUCGAGCAGGGACGAAAGUCGGGCUUAGUGAUCCGGUGGUACCUCGUGGGAGGGCCAUCGCUCAACGGAUAAAAGCUACCUCGGGGAUAACAGGCUGAUCUCCCCCAAGAGUCCACAUCGACGGGGAGGUUUGGCACCUCGAUGUCGGCUCGUCGCAUCCUGGGGCUGUAGUAGGUCCCAAGGGUUGGGCUGUUCGCCCAUUAAAGCGGCACGCGAGCUGGGUUCAGAACGUCGUGAGACAGUUCGGUCCCUAUCCGUCGCGGGCGUAGGAAAUUUGAGAGGAGCUGUCCUUAGUACGAGAGGACCGGGAUGGACUGACCUCUGGUGCACCAGUUGUUCUGCCAAGAGCAUGGCUGGGUAGCUAAGUCGGGAAGGGAUAAACGCUGAAAGCAUCUAAGCGUGAAGCCUCCCUCAAGAUGAGAUUUCCCAUAGCAUAAGCUAGUAAGACCCCUUGAAGAACACGAGGUUGAUAGGUCAGAGGUGUAAGUGUGGUAUCAUAUUUAGCUGACUGAUACUAAUAGGUCGAGGGCUUGACCAG